rnacentral:tRNA from 3 species
GGAAGCGUGGCCGAGUGGUUUAAGGCAACGGUCUUGAAAACCGUCGAUGGGCAACUAUCCUAGGGUUCGAAUCCCUACGCUUCCGCCA